rnacentral:rRNA from 1 species
CGUGUAGGCGGCCCAUCAAGUCGGGUGUGAAAGCCCUCGGCUCAACCGAGGAAUUGCACUCGAUACUGAUGGGCUAGAGUCCGGGAGGGGGUAGCGGAAUUCCCAGUGUAGCGGUGAAAUGCGUAGAUAUUGGGAAGAACACCAGUGGCGAAGGCGGCUACCUGGACCGGAACUGACGCUGAGGCGCGAAAGCUAGGGGAGCGAACAGGAUUAGAUACCCUGGUAGUCC